rnacentral:rRNA from 1 species
GGAUAGGUGGGAGGCUUUGAAGCUGCGACGCUAGUUGCGGCAGAGCCAACGGUGAAAUACCACCCUUAUCGUAUUAAGAUUCUAACCCCAUGCCAUGAAUCUGGCGGGGGGACAGUUCCAGGCGGGCAGUUUGACUGGGGCGGUUUCCUCCUAAAUUGUAACGGCGGAGCCCAAAGGUCAGCUCAAGGCGGUCGGCAAUCGCCUGUAGAGUGUAAUGGCAUAAGCUGGCUUAACUGCGAGUCCGACAGGACAAGCAGAUACGAAAGUAGGGCAUAGUGAUCCGGUGGCACCUCGUGGGAGGGCCAUCGCUCAACGAACAAUAGGUACUCCGGGGAUAACAGGCUGAUCGCGCUCGAGAGUUCAUAUCGACAGCGCGGUUUGGCACCUCGAUGUCGGCUCAUCCUAUCCUGGGGCUGGAUAAGGUCCCAAGGGUCCGGCUGUUCGCCGGUUAAAAGGGUACGCGAGCUGGGUUUAGAACGUCGUGAGACAGUUCGGUCUCUAUCUGAUGUGGGCGUAGAAUACUUGAAGGGGAGCUUUCCGUAGUACGAGAGGACCCGGAUAGACGAACCUCUGAUGUUCCAGUUAUCCUGCCAAGGGUAAAGGCUGGGUAGUUAUGUUCGGAAGGGAUAAGCGCUGAAGGCAUAUAAGCGCCAAGCCCACCCCAAGAUUAAGUAUUCCUGUCCCCGCAAGGGGACUAUAGGCACCUUGUAGACUACGAGGUUGAUAGGCUGGGUGUGUAAGACGAGUAAUCGUUUAAGCUAACCAGUACUAAUCUGCCAAUUGGCUUGGUCAC